AGGGUUUUAUUAUAAAUAGGAGUUUUAUUUAUGCUUUAAGGGAGUCGAAUUGAGAGUUAAAAUGUAGAGGGUGGAAUUGUUCCCUUCUCGCGGUGUUCUUCCGGUAUUCAUGAGUGAAUCAACGGAUUAACCCUUAUUGUACGUAUUCCGGUAUACAAUGGUUAUCAACGGAGUUCGUAUAUUUAUCAAUAUCAAAUAUAUUUCACGCUUCUACCUGCAUCA
rnacentral:lncRNA from 1 species